UUCUCCCUCACUACGUGAGAAUAGGCAGAAAGUUGCUAUAGCUUUUGUUUUUUUAUCAUCGCAGCGGAAUCACGGGUAGCAGCAGAAAAUCGCGAGAAAUCGGUACACUCAUCCAACUACUUUGCAAACUCAUAACCAUAGCAACCUAAUCGAUCAAAUUGUUGUCCUUUUCUCCCCCCAUUUUCAAUAAUCUUCAAAAUCUCUUCUAUUUGAAAUUUUGCUCAAUGAAUUUCUCCCCUAAAUCAUCCCUUCUUCCCCUAUAAAUAACUCUUUACCCUCAGUGAUUAAGGGGAGAUAGAGAAAAGAUUGGAUUUUGAGGUCAUAUAAGCAAAAUAGAUUAUAGAGGGGAUUUUGGAGUUGAGUUCUGAAGCAAUAGUCGUUUUCUACUCGAAAAAUGCAACUGUUUAUAGUUGUUUUUUAGCUUCUUCUUUGCUAUCAGUGUUCGAAUCUUGUUUUAAAAGAAUCACUGUCCAAAGCUUGUCGUUCCCAGUUCUGCUGCCCCUGAAAGAUUACUACAUAGUUGGUCCGCCUAUUCGAAAUGACAUUUUUUCUCGUUUUCUUUCACCAAAAGUCGAGCUGACCCCAUUCAAUGUUGAGAUUAGUUCUUCCGGUUAGUGUACUUUUACCUCAUUACAUGAUCUCAUCUUGUUGUUUAUGAUUGUGGUUUAGUAUGAAGUCUUAAAUUUAAUUUCUAAGAGGACGUUUAUUUUUAUUUGUGAGUUCGUUUUGUAUCUCGGCUUGUAUAGACAAAUAUAGGUCGAUUAGUUUACUGUUUUCUCUUCUCUCUUCUCUUCGUUGACCUGUUGGUUGAGUUUAUUUAGUUUUGAUAGUAGGUUGUUUCAAAACGUGCUUCUUCGAUUUUUGAAUCCAAUGAAUCUCCAGUUAAGAAAAGUUUGUACAUGUGAAGGUUAUUGUUGCCUGCCUUUUCCUGUUUCUUAGAGUUCAAAAAUGUUGAUGUAUGGUGAUUCUGUAAGAUUGAAUAUACGCUUUGUAGCAGUCGAUUUGGCAUAUAGAUUAUUUUUGGUAGUCAUGAAUAGUAGAACAUGCAUUACUUUUGGAUUUUCUUGGAGAGGUAAAAAAUUGUAGUAGCCUAAAUUAACUCCUCGACAUCGCAUAUACUUACCUGUAACUUGCUCUAAUAAUAUUCUCAUGGAGAUUUUGUAAGUUUCAGGCGCAUAUGUUGAUCAUACUGCUUAGGAAAGUUUGACGAGUGUUUUAUCAAAUUUAUGUAGCCUUAGUUAUGAGGUUUAUUACACCACUGUUAGCGGCAACGUGAAAUUAAAGAUCAAGGAAGAACAACAAUAUUUAACGUGGUUUAGAUCAAUAUGAUCCUACGUCCUUCAAAGAACAACUGGACCAAUAUUUAUUUCACUUUACAAAGAAUACAAGUGAAAUACCAAAAGAGAGAGAACACAAAUGUCUUAGUAGAUGAGAAGGCUAGUGAGAGUAUGUUUUAAAAAUGAAGUAAGAACUACCUAUUUAUAGGAAUGAAUUCAUCCUAUUGAUAUCAUCCAUGAUAUCACUAUAUGUAAAAAAUGUUAAGGUUAAGAAUAUGAAACCAUUUUAUGGUUUGCUUAAACUUCACCUACCAAGAUAUUAUCUUGACUUUUAUUUAAUGCUAAUUAUCUUCCUACCAAAAUAUUCAUGUUAAUUCGUCUUCCAUAUAGUUUGAUUCCACAAGAACAAAACCAAACCACUGUUUGGUUUAGUUCCCUGUUUCAUGCUAGUGCUUGUUGCUGAUGUUCUGGUAAGAGAUAUAGUAAAAAUGUGUCUUGCCGAAAUUUUUUCCUUAGCCGAGUUGUUAUCUUCUAGCACCAUAAAAUCGCACUUGUACACUAUUGGUAACCCUGGCCAUAUUUUUGGGAAUGGUUUUAUUGGUACCUCAAUUAACUUCUAAUCAAUUAUAGUUUUGUAAGAAGGAAAAUUUAGUUACAGUAAUAGUUUACUAUUGCGAAUUUAUAAUUUGUGUUUUGUCUUCAUGUGUACCAUUUUGAUUUUAUUUUUUUACAUUUUGAUAUGGUACUGUUAUGAUCCAUUUCUCUGUACUAAUCGUUUUCGUCUAAUUUUCUUUGCAUAAAUUCACUCGGAUCGAGUUAUUUGGACUCCUAUGUACCUUGCAUUUCUUAGUUGAGCCAUAAAGGCUAGCCUUUGAUUUCCCUAUUUCUCGAGUCAGCCCCUCUAUACAUUUGGAAGUCGUUACAGGUCCUGGAAAUUCUGGAAAAUAAUGUUAAAGAGCCCAAGAAAUGGGCUGUAUAUAGACUCUAUGCAACAUUUAUACAUUGAUAUAUAGGUCAUGUACAGAAAAUAUGUGGAAAAAGUACGAAAAUGCCGAGACGAGGAAAAAUACAGGUGUUUGGAAGCAGGAGAUACAUGAAAAGAGCAAAUAUACAUGCUGACAUAUAUUGAUAUAGAGAAGAUGUAUGCAAAAAAAGGGAUUGGGUUAAGACCCAAAAACUUGCAGCGGAAAUGGCCCAAAAGGGGGCCCAAUUUAAUUAUCUCUUUCACUUUCCUAAUUUUUUGAUUAUGUUGACUAAUUUCAUUUAACUCUAACUUUAGAACUAGUAAUUAACUUGCUUAAAUCCCUCAGAUCAUGAUUAAUUUUCUUUA